GAGCAAGAAAAUAUGAUGCCAGAUGGGAAAAAACUAAACAAUUUAUGUGAUGAUAUUUGUUGGGAGGAGAAAGCCGAAUGCCACGGCUUGGAUUUUGGGGGAAAAAAGUAGUAGGGGAAACUGUGUGAGAGGGGGAGAGGGUAUAAUAUAGUAGUCAGUACCUAAAAGGGCAGACCCCCGCGUGCGUGUGAUUCUGCCAUGGACAUUGAGAAGUCUGAGUCUCUGUUGUGAGUGAGUGCGGCUGAUUUUCU
rnacentral:lncRNA from 1 species